rnacentral:rRNA from 1 species
AUUGAACGCUGGCGGCAGGCCUAACACAUGCAAGUCGAGCGAGCGGCGGACGGGUGAGUAAAGUAUGGGGACUGCCCGAUAGAGGGGGAUAACACCUGGAGACGGUAGGUAAUACCGCAUACUAUCGGAUAACCCAUAUGGGAUUAGUUAGUAGUGGGGGUAAUGGCUCACCUAGGCGACGAUCCCUAGCUGGUCUGAGAGGAUGAUCAGCCACACUGGGACUGAGACACGGCCCAGACUCCUACGGAGGCAGCAGUGGGGAAUAUUGCACAAUGGGCGCAAGCCUGAUGCAGCCAUGCCGCGUGUAUGAAGAAGGCCCUAGGGUUGUAAAGUACUUUCAGUCGGGAGGCGUUACCGACAGAAGAAGCACCGGCUAACUCCGUGCCAGCAGCCGCGGUAAUUC